UUUUCAUCAAUUUCACGCGCGUUGCUUUCUUUCACCUCACGCGAUUUCUGAAAAUUCUCCUUUCUUCAUCGUUUCAGCACCAUUCUUUCUUUAGUCAUUGUUCUACUCCGAAAACGGUCAUUCCGGCGAUAUCUCCACAACCACUUCUUAGUUCCGACGAUAUCUCGACAACCACUUCUCAAUUUCGGUUAUUAACAGGUUGGAAAUUGUUCACCCUAAUUUGAUUCACAUUUUUCCCAAUUUAAUUCAAUACCCCAAUUUUUUACAUCUUGUUUUGUUGUUGCGACUUUAAGAAUCCUUUUCAGCAUUUUGGGUGUUGUUAUGCUUGGAACCUUUAUAUACACUCUUGUCACUGAUGGUUCUCCUUUCCGUACAGCUAUUGACUCCGUUCAAUUUCCAGUGGAUAAGAUGAUGACAAUGUGAGAAAUGGUCAAACAUGGAUGCUUCUCAAGGAAAUUUAUAUGUCAGACAACAAACAGAGAAUACGAACUUGAAGAAUAAGAAAAAAAAAUAGAUUUUAUGUGCUACUGUGUUUGACAACAGUCCUAUGCAGAGUUGCAGUUUUUCAGUGAUGCCACUGCAGUUGCGGUUUGGUGUUGUGUUUGGGAGGCUUGCUAGCGUGUUUUGAAGUUGCUUCUGGAUAGCUUUUAUUGCUAUUUUGGUUUCUGUUAUGUUAAGGUAGCAGGUUUCCAGGGGUUUUUAUCGUUGAGUUUUGAUUUUGGUGGAGAGGCGCCCUUUAUUUUAAGGCCCUCCUUAAUUGUACUCUUUUUGCAACAUCAAAUGUAAUUUCUAUUUUGUGUAUUUGUGAUGUAAUUCACAUUUGUAUUGA